rnacentral:rRNA from 1 species
AGCCAUGCGAGUCAUUGUAGCAAUACAAGGCAGACGGCUCAGUAACGCGUAGUCAAUCUACCCUGUUGACGGGGAUAACCUCGGGAAACUGAGAAUAAUACCCGAUAGAACAUUAUGCCUGGAAUGGUUUAUGUUUCAAAUGAUUUAUCGCAAUAGGAUGGGACUGCGGCCUAUCAGUUUGUUGGUGAGGUAAUGGCCCACCAAGACUAUUACAGGUACGGGCUCUGAGAGGAGUGGCCCGGAGAUGGGUACUGAGACACGGACCCAGGCCCUAUGGGGCGCAGCAGGCGAGAAAACUUUGCAAUGUGCGAAAGCACGACAAGGUUAAUCCGAGUGGUUUCUGCUAAAGAAACCUUUUGUCAGUCCUAGAAACACUGAUGAAUAAGGGGUGGGCAAGUUCUGGUGUCAGCCGCCGCGGUAAAACCAGCACCUCAAGUGGUCAGGAUGAUUAUUGGGCCUAAAGCAUCCGUAGCUUGUUUUGUAAGUUUUCGGUUAAAUCCAUACGCUUAACGUAUGGGCUGCCGGGAAUACUGCAUAACUAGGAAGUGGGAGAGGUAGACGGUACUCGGUAGGAAGGGGUAAAAUCCUUUGAUCUAUUGAUGACCACCUGUGGCGAAGGCGGUCUACCAGAACACGUUCGACGGUGAGGGAUGAAAGCUGGGGGAGCAAACCGGAUUAGAUACCCGGGUAGCCCCAGCUGUAAACUAUGCAAACUCAGUGAUGCAUUGGCUUGUGGCCAAUGCAGUGCUGCAGGGAAGCCGUUAAGUUUGCCGCCUGGGAAGUACGUACGCAAGUAUGAAACUUAAAGGAAUUGGCGGGGCAGCACCACAAGGGGUGAAGCCUGCGGUUCAAUUGGAUUC